UACGUAGGGUGCAAGCGUUAAUCGGAAUUACUGGGCGUAAAGCGUGCGCAGGCGGUUAUGUAAGACAGGUUGUGAAAUCCCCGGGCUCAACCUGGGAACUGCAUCUGUGACUGCAUAGCUAGAGUACGGCAGAGGGGAUGGAAUCCGCGUGAGCAGUGAAAUGCGUAGAUAUGCGGAGGAACACCGAUGGCGAAGGCAAUCCCCGUGGGCCUGCACUGACGCUCAUGCACGAAAGCGUGGGGAGCAAACAGG
rnacentral:rRNA from 1 species